AGUGCGCUCCAGCCCUUGUCACAGCAGCAAUGGCCAAGCACUGAUCCAGCUUGCCGGCUCAGCACUCCGCAGCAAGAGACCGAAGUCACUCUUGACAGCCCCCAUGAGCUCAGCAAGCACACAGAAGCAGAACAGAGGGAAACCGGCCAGCUUCCUGCCAAGGUGCUGAGUGGACAGACAGGCUGCUGAAGACAGAAGUGGAGGGAGAAAAUUGGUGACCUUGACGGUAAAGAGCAUUGGUGCCCUGGGGACCCAUCACAACCACCAAGGUCGAUGAGCAGACAUAGCUGGUGCUGCUUCCUGAAGGGUAAUCACGUUGAUGACAGUGCAGUCCCUGAGCUGUGAUUUGGUCUGGGAAUAGAAUUAUUAGGAAACCCAGCUUGGCUGUCACAGAUGCUCUGUUUGGGGUUUUCCCUUGAAGUAAACAGAAAGAGUCCCAGUGGAAGCAACGACUCAGCAGGAACUACGGCAGCUGGCCUCCCCACUGGCCACUCUGCUGUCCUCAAUGGUCACCCUCUCAAAGGCUCAAUUAAUAAACAUUUCCCAGUAUAGGCUGGGAAAUUGGCUACUGUUGAUGCAGUGGAUGAAAAUGACAGAGACGGCACCGGAACAGAGGAGCCCAACAGAGCCAGCUCAAAUCCUGGCCACGCCUCCUACCACUGUGACUCCGGACAGGGUUACUUCCCUUCUGCAACCCAGCAUCAUCUAAGACAUGGCCGUCAUCACAGAGAUAUUACGAUCAGCAGGGAAGCAAGUGGAACACAAAUUAAAGAGUCUUCUUCCUCCCUAUCCACGACCCAAAGAGAAUUUUAUACACGUUUAGAAAGAAGGAAGAGUAAUUGAGAUGAAGUGUGCCAAGCACUCGGCACGUGGCAAAUGCAGGAGACUGUUGCUGUUAUCAUUGUUAUUAUUCAACGCCACCACAGCCACCACAGCCACCACCGCUGCUGCCACCACUACAGAGUCAUGCUAAUCAGUGUGAAUCAUGUUUAUCACUGUCGCCACCACCACCACCAUAGCCGUGUUCACCAGUGCUUAGUAUGUUUAUCCCCAUCGGCACCACCACCACGAUUACCUUCUCCAUCACCUUUGCCAUUAUCACCACCACCGUCAGCAUCGCUCACUGUCAGCACCAGCACUACGCCCACUCUCUCCAUCAUUAUCCCCAUGGCCAUCAUCAGCACCUUCAUUAAGUGAGCCCUUUGGAACUCUAAAGGUCACACCGGUAUGCUCUAUUCUCACCUGCUGUGUAGCCGUAAGCUGGGCCGAAGUGUCCAUUUGAGCUCAACAUUGGAGACCCAAGUAAUGAUGAACACAUGUGGUGGCAUGUCACUCAACCUGGUGUGCUGGCUGUCCCUAGACUAGAGGACCCAGGGACCUCCUGGACCCCACGGAGUUCCAAACCUAUAAAUGACACAUGUAAAAUCACACAGGACCAGAAAGUGGGCCCAGCAGGCAGAGGGUAAUUUGAGUAUUUGAAGGCUCCAGGGGAACCAAUCUAGAGCUUGCUAUGCUCUGCUGGGCUGACGACUAUGAACUGUGAACCAUGCUCUGGAAAAGGACACAGGGCAUGCAUCUGGGAGAGGCGGGUUUGAAUCCCCCAUCCUCCAGGCAUUCACUGAUGGCCCUUGGGGACUCUGAGGCCAGGUUUGUACCUAAUGUAGCAGUCCUGUCAGAGGAAUGUUCCCUUAAGGGACCAACAAAAGAGCUGUGGACAGGGUUAAAUGACAUCAGAAGGCGGUGGUGGAAACCUGCCUUGGUGUUCUAGAAAUGAGAGCCACUCCAUCCCAACAGUCAAAUAUCAAAGGGUAGGAAUCACUUCUGAGACCCCUGUGGGGUCAGAGCCCACAACAGGAGGGGCAUCGCUACUACCCAUGGAAUACUUAGUCAGUGUGUGGGUUGAUGACAGUGAAUCUGGGAGCUGAUGGCUGACUGAGUUGGCGAAAGGCUUUCCAUACAAACAUGAGGACCUGAGUUUGUAUGUGAGUACACUGUCACUGUCUUCAGACACACCAGAAGAAGGCAUCAGAUCCCAUUACAGAUGGUUGUGAACCACCAUGUGGUUGCUGGGAUUUGAACUCUGGAAGAGCAGUCAAUGCUCUUAACCACUGAGCCAUCUCUCCAGCCCCUGAGGACCUGAGUUUGAAUCCCCAUAACCCAUGUUUAAAAAAAAAAAAAACAAAGGUACAGCAUUAUGAACCCAUAACCCAAACUCUGGCAGGAGGGAGACAAGUGGGUCCCUGGGCUCACUGGUUAACCCGUGUAGACACACUCCAGAUUCAGUAAGAGACACUGUCUAAAGGUGACGUGAUUGAAGAAGACACCCAAUGCCACCUUCUGGCUCCAAACAUACAUGCACAUAUACACACAUAGAUAAACACAUGAGGCAGGUCACAUCUGUCAAAUGUCUGUUUCAUGUUUCUGGGCCCACAUCUGACUUUUGAUGACUUUUCCCCUUCUUCAAUCUGGGCACAUCUGCCACUGAACAGAGUAAAAGUGACAUAAAGUAACUUCAGAUUUUAGUUCAUAAAAGUAAUGCACCUUCCAGAGGAACCAACAUGCUGGAAGGAAGGCCCAGCAGCCGCACAGAG